GAAACGAACAGUUUCUUUCUCUUGUUGCUCCUGUGAGCAAGACCCAAAGCUUCGGCCGCCGCAGUACCUUCGUCCAGAAGAGAUGCGUUGGCUACUUCCAUCCCAGUCAAGUCGCAUAUCAUCGUUUGUUGCUGUAGCCGCGUUAAAAUCAGCGAUAAAUUGCACUCUAAGAAACAUACCAUCCUGGAUUUUCGAAUAUGUUCCUCAUAAUGGUGUGAGGAACGCAACAAUUAUUAUAUCCCAUGCCUAUAUACGAACGCCAUACGUCGUUCUUUUCCGAAAUCUGUGUAAUCAUCUUUAACAAUUCGUAUUCAGCUAAAAUCUUUCAAAAAUCACGUGAAUGCUAAUCUGACCGCACGAGAUUGACCUCUGACCCAAGAUACGUUCAUUUCACAAUGAAAGGCCAUCUUAUUUAUGGAACAUAAUGAAGCUAAUGCAUGUUCCAACAGAAAAAACUGUCUCAUUUUUUAACACAAUUAAUUCAUCGACUUAUUAAAAUAUUUAACGUGCAAAAUUUUCAUAAAUUAUGAAUGAAUAUACUUCAAGAAUGUUUGUUACUCAUCCACUGUGUUCAUUUCAAUAUCAUGGGGUUAUCAGUUUACACGUGUUUCAUAUCAACAGUCGCGUGACUUCACACGUUUCUACGUAUCGUAAUAGUUUCUUUUUCAACUGCUGUAGUAUAUCAUUUCAAAUAAGUUACA